ACGCACGCUGGCGGCGUGCUUCACACCUGCCCGUCGAACGGAAAGGCCCUGCUUUUGUGGGGUGCUCGAGUGGCGAACGGGUGAGUAACACGUGAGUAACCUGCCCUUGACUUUGGGAUAACUUCAGGAAACUGGGGCUAAUACCGGAUAGGAGCUCCUGCUGCAUGGUGGGGGUUGGAAAGUUUCGGCGGUUGGGGAUGGACUCGCGGCUUAUCAGCUUGUUGGUGGGGUAGUGGCUUACCAAGGCUUUGACGGGUAGCCGGCCUGAGAGGGUGACCGGCCACAUUGGGACUGAGAUACGGCCCAGACUCCUACGGGAGGCAGCAGUGGGGAAUAUUGCACAAUGGGCGGAAGCCUGAUGCAGCAACGCCGCGUGCGGGAUGACGGCCUUCGGGUUGUAAACCGCUUUCGCCUGUGACGAAGCGUGAGUGACGGUAAUGGGUAAAGAAGCACCGGCUAACUACGUG
rnacentral:rRNA from 1 species